UACAGAGGCCCCAAGCGUUACUGAGAAUCACUGGGUUUAAAGGGCGCGUAGGCGGCUCAUGAAGGCUGUGGUGAAAGUCCGGGGCUCAACCUCGGAUCGGCCGUGGCGACUCGUGGGCUGGAGCACUGUAGAGGCGGGUGGAAUUCCGGGUGUAGCGGUGAAAUGCGUAGAUAUCGGGAGGAACACCUGUGGCGAAGGCGGGUCUCUGGGCAGUAACUGACGCUGAGGAGCGAAAGCGUGGGGAGCGAACAGG
rnacentral:rRNA from 1 species